CCCUACACAAGGGAAGAAAGGAGCUCACAGCCACCCUGGUCUGCUUGGUACAGCAGCAGCUGGCCUGCCUGUCCGUGAAUUAGGGAUGUUGGUGCUGUCCCGCCUCUCAGGGCACUUGAGUCAGUCUAAUGAGGCAGAGGAGGUGCAGAAACGCUCCAAACAGUCCACAGAGCCAGGCAAAUGUGAGGCGUCAUCAUGAAAAGCUUAAAUUUAUGGUUCUGAAGGAGAUGCAACAUCUGGGAAGGAAUUAUUGCAAUUUAAAGGGAGGAUGUGGGUCUGUUUAUAAGUGCGGAAUCUGGAAGCGAUGUCUGGUUUCUUUUUUUUUUUUUUUUAACCAACUAAUUUGUAUUCCAGUCAGAAAACUAUGGUGUGACUAUCUUCCAGAUGUUCAGAAGAAAAUUGUAGAAGAUGAGUUCCAUCUCGGAUGCAUUUUCUGUCUUUCAAUAGGCUUCACUGGGCAUCUACUACUUGCCAGGUGUACCCCUCUGCUGACAUCUUUGAUGCCACAGUGGGCGAGUCAGGCUACGAGAAGUCCAGUCGGUGCUUUCAGUGUCCCUUCACUGUGGAGACUUUAGGAAGUAC
rnacentral:lncRNA from 1 species